rnacentral:siRNA from 1 species
ACUGCAGCUGAUGCAUCUGGAUGC